GGAUCAGGUAGGAAUACCCGCUGAACUUAAGCAUAUCAAUAAGCGGAGG
rnacentral:rRNA from 1 species